rnacentral:rRNA from 1 species
AUGGCAGCCACGGCGGUGACCCUGCCCACCUCCGCGCCGGCGCCCUUCCCCGUCGCCGCCCCCUCCGCCCGCCGCGGCCUGCAGCUCCUCCGCUCGCCGGUCCCCCGCCGCGCCAUCCGCGUCGCCGCCUCCGCCGCGACCGAGGCGCCGCCCAAGCCGCCGCCGGCCACGCCCUCCGGCAUCAUCCUCGUCGACCCCGCCGAGGCCCAGAAGGUGCACCGCCUCAAGACCGUCUACGACACCAAGGUCAUCCCCAUCAUCACCGAGGAGUUCGGCUACACCAAUGUCCACCAGGUGCCCAAGCUUGAGAAGAUUGUGGUGAACUGCGGGCUGGGGGUGGAUGCGGGGAACAACAAGGGUCUGGAGGCCGCCAUGAAGGACCUCGCCUCCAUCACCGGCCAGUACCCCGUCAAGACCAAGGCCAAGAACUCCGUCGCCAGUUUCAAGAUCCGCGAGGGCAACACCAUUGGUAUCGCCGUCACGCUCCGCGGCAGGGUCAUGUUCAACUUCUUGGAUAGGCUCAUCAACCUUGGGCUCCCUAGGACCAUGGACUUCCUAGGUGUCAACCCCAACAGCUUCGAUGGCCACGGCAACUACACCAUUGGCCUCCGCGACCAGGGCGUGUUCCCGGAGAUCCCCUACGAGGUGGGCGGUAAGAAGAACGGUAUGGACGUCACCAUUGUGACCACCGCCAAGACCGACAACGAGGCACAGAGGCUGCUCGCGCUCCUCGGCAUGCCAUUCGCCGAGAACAUCAAGUCGGACCAGUUCAAGAAGAAGAGGUUGAAGCGCCAUCACUUCAUGAGCAAGGGCAGGGGAAGAAAGUGA